rnacentral:rRNA from 1 species
CUUGGUCAUUUAGAGGAAGUAAAAGUCGUAACAAGGUCUCCGUUGGUGAACCAGCGGAGGGAUCAUUAAAGAGUUUUAGAACUCCCAAACCCAUGUGAACAUACCGUACGUUGCCUCGGCAGGUCGCGUCUACCCUGUAGCACCCUACCCUGUAAGACCCCUACCCUGUAGGACUUACCCGGUAGGACUUACCCGGCAGACGCGGGUAAGCCUGCCGGCGGCCCACGAAAAAAAAAAAACUCUUGUUUUAGCAUUGCAAUUCUGAAUACUAUAACUAAAUCAGUUAAAACUUUCAACAACGGAUCUCUUGGUUCUGGCAUCGAUGAAGAACGCAGCGAAAUGCGAUAAGUAAUGUGAAUUGCAGAAUUCAGUGAAUCAUCGAAUCUUUGAACGCACAUUGCGCCCAUUAGUAUUCUAGUGGGCAUGCCUGUUCGAGCGUCAUUUCAACCCUUAAGCCUCUGUUGCUUAGUGUUGGGAGCCUACAGCACUUGUAGCUCCUCAAAGUUAGUGGCGGAGUCGGCUCACAGCUCUAGACGUAGUAAUUCUUUUCUCGCCUGUGUGUUGUGCCGGUCCCCUGCCGUAAAACCCCCCCCUUUAAUUUUUCAAGGUUGACCUCGGAUCAGGUAGGAAUACCAGCUGAACUUAAGCAUAUCAAUAAGCGGAGGA